AGUGAACGCUGGCGGUAGGCCUAACACAUGCAAGUCGAACGGCAGCACAGGAGAGCUUGCUCUCUGGGUGGCGAGUGGCGGACGGGUGAGGAAUACAUCGGAAUCUACUCUGUCGUGGGGGAUAACGUAGGGAAACUUACGCUAAUACCGCAUACGACCUACGGGUGAAAGCAGGGGAUCUUCGGACCUUGCGCGAUUGAAUGAGCCGAUGUCGGAUUAGCUAGUUGGCGGGGUAAAGGCUCACCACGGCGACGAUCCGUAGCUGGUCUGAGAGGAUGAUAAGCCACACGGGAACUGAGACACGGUCCAGACUCCUACGGGAGACAGCAGUGGGGAAUAUUGGACAAUGGGCGCAAGCCUGAUCCAGCCAUACCGCGUGGGUGAAGAAGGCCUUCGGGUUGUAAAGCCCUUUUGUUGGGAAAGAAAUCCAGCUGGCUAAUACCCGGUUGGGAUGACGGUACCCAAAGAAUAAGCACCGGCUAACUUCGUGCCAGCCGCCGCCGUAA
rnacentral:rRNA from 1 species